AUUUGGGGGCGGUGCUUAGUGCGGGCCUGGAGCCAGUUGGCCGUCUCCUGGUACUCCUCGAAUUUGUACCUGGGAGGAUCGGGAGGAAAUGCGAGUGGGCCCGCCCGGCCAGCCCAGCCAGCCUAUAGCAACCCACGGUAGGCACAGUGCCAUCUGGAAGGACCUUCCCUCCGGUAUAAAAAAAACCCUGUCCCUACCUCCCAGGCAUUCAAGACCCUGCACCUACCCCAGCCCCCAGGGCAGUCUCCAGCACAGAUCCUAGUCCCAGCCUUCAACACAGCCUCCAGGACAGAGCCCAGCCCGGCCCAGCCCAGCCCAUGAUGGAGAGAUAGCUGAGAGCAUCUCACAAUAAUAUGCAUAAAGAGGCAUACACCCUCACAGAAACUCAAAAGCAGCUACAACACAAGACCUGGGACCCAGAAAUCCAUCCACUCAAAAAGGAGACUCGACUCAACCACUCCUGG